rnacentral:rRNA from 1 species
UAAGCACACUGUUGGUUAUGUGUGCCCAAGCAUUGAGGCAGUCAAAGCAGGCAAAUCCGCUUUGAUAAUGCUGGGAUGUGAUGGGGAGCGAAAUUUAGUAGCGAAGUAGCUGAUUUCACACUGUCAAGAAAAGUCUCUAUCGAGGUUAAAGGUACCCGUACCGCAAACCGACACAGGUGGGUGAGGAGAGUAUCCUAAGGCCAGCGAGAGAACUGUUGUUAAGGAACUCGGCAAAAUGACCCCGUAACUUAGGGAUAAGGGGUGCCACCAUCAGGUGGCCGCAGAGAAUAGGCCCAAGCGACUGUUUACCAAAAACAUAGGUUUCUGCUAAGUCGCAAGACGAUGUAUAGGAGCUGACGCCUGCCCGGUGCUGGAAGGUUAAGGGGAUCUGUUAGAGCAAUCGAAGCAGUGAACUUAAGCCCCAGUAAACGGCGGCCGUAACUAUAACGGUCCUAAGGUAGCGAAAUUCCUUGUCGGGUAAGUUCCGACCCGCACGAAAGGCGUAACGAUUUGGGCACUGUCUCAACAACAGACUCGGUGAAAUUGUAAUUCCGGUGAAGAUGCCGGAUACCUGCGACAGGACGGAAAGACCCCAUGGAGCUUUACUGUAGCUUGACAUUGGGUCUUGGUACUACAUGUACAGGAUAGGUGGGAGGCUUUGAAACCAGGACGCCAGUUUUGGCGGAGCCAUCCUUGGGAUACCACCCUUGUAGUACUGGGACUCUAACCAUAGGCCAUGAAUCUGGUCUUGGGACACUGUCAGGUGGGCAGUUUGACUGGGGCGGUCGCCUCCCAAAAGGUAACGGAGGCGCUCAAAGGUUCUCUCAGUACGGUCGGAAAUCGUACGUAGAGUGUAAAGGCAAAAGAGAGCUUGAUUGCAAGACAUACAGGUCGAGCAAGGAUGAAAAUCGGACUUAGUGAUCCGGUGGUUCUGCGUGGAAGGGCCAUCGCUCAACGGAUAAAAGCUACCCUGGGGAUAACAGGCUUAUCUCCCCCAAGAGUCCACAUCGACGGGGAGGUUUGGCACCUCGAUGUCGGCUCAUCACAUCCUGGGGCUGUAGUAGGUCCCAAGGGUUGGGCUGUUCGCCCAUUAAAGUGGUACGCGAGCUGGGUUCAGAACGUCGUGAGACAGUUCGGUCCCUAUCCGUCGCAGGCGUAGGAAAUUUGAGAAGACCUGUCCUUAGUACGAGAGGACCGGGAUGGACG